AAAGGUUAUGCCUUUGUGAUGUUGAAACUACCGAAACAUGUUGGUAGUUAUAGGUUAAGAGUAAUUGGAUAGAAUCCGAUAACCAUAUACCGAUAACGAACAACUAAAUAAUAUAUAACAAACUUUAGGGUGGUUAUAGCGGUGGGGCUCACCUGUUCCCAUUCCGAACACAGAAGUUAAGCCCACCAGCGCCGAUGGUACUGCUAACGCGGGAGAGUAGGUCGCCGCCAGUU
rnacentral:rRNA from 1 species